UGGAUUAGCCAGUUGGCAGGGUAACGGCCUACCAAAGCGACGAUCCAUAGCCGGCCUGAGAGGGUGAACGGCCACAUUGGGACUGAGACACGGCCCAGACUCCUACGGGAGGCAGCAGUGGGGAAUAUUGCACAAUGGGGGAAACCCUGAUGCAGCGACGCCGCGUGAGCGAAGAAGUAUUUCGGUAUGUAAAGCUCUAUCAGCAGGGAAGAUCAUGACGGUACCUGACUAAGAAGCCCCGGCUAACUAC
rnacentral:rRNA from 1 species